rnacentral:rRNA from 1 species
AUUGAACGCUGGCGGCAUGCUUUACACAUGCAAGUCGAACGGCAGCGCGGGCUUCGCCCUUGCGGCGAGUGGCGAACGGGUGAGUAAUGCAUCGGACGUGCCCAGUAGUGGGGGAGAGAGCGGCGAAAGCCGGAUUAAUACCGCAUACGACCUGAGGGUGAAAGCGGGGGACCGAAAGGACUCGCGCUAUUGGUGCGGUCGAUGUCGGUUUAGCUAGUUGGUUGGGUGAAGGCUUACCAAGGCGACGAUCCGUAGCUGGUCUGAGAGGACGACUAGCCCCACUGGGACGGAGACACGGCCCAGACUCCUACGGGAGGCAGCAGUGGGGAAUGUUGGACUAAGGGGGCGACCCUGAUCCAGCCCUGCCGCGUGCGGGAAGAAGGCCUUCGGGUUGUAAACCGCUUUUGUUCGGGAAGAAGUACUCUGGGCUAAUCCCCCGGGGGGAUGACGGUACCGAAAGAAUAAGCACCGGCUAACUACGUG